rnacentral:misc_RNA from 1 species
CGGGAAACAGAUGCAUAUCUUCCUAUAAAGCUUUCAUUGCCGUUGCUAGUUAAUCAUGUACAAUAGCAAUGCCAAGUCAUGCACACUCUUUACAAGUUCCAAAUAACCUCAAUCUCUACCGAACACUUCACUGAUACAAAGACACACCAGCAGCUAAACUUGAUAAAAGGAUAGGCAGACCAUUUAAAAAUUUUCAACAAAUCCCUUUUCAGCCAAGAAAGGAGGAAAAAACAAUUUCCACGAAACCACCCAGGUAGGUGCAACUCCCUCACUAGCUCCACUGGUAGUUAAUACCAGUCAUUGACCUAGGAAGGACAGUAGCACAAAGGCUCAGACCAUCAGUGCAUUCAGAAACCUUACCGAUUUGACUCCCCAACUUAGUUAUUAAUGGUGCCGUGAUUGUAACACCAGACCAAGCAUUAGAAUUUCUAACAAAAUCAGAAAAACACUAUAAUUGUUUGCGCGCAUAUCCAAUUGCCAAUAAGCAUGUACGAACAUUCUGGGUUAGGCCCAUCUGUCAAGUAUGGAAUCACUUAGAAAAGAGACCACCAUCUCCGACUUCUGUUGCCCCUUUGGUUGGGUGAAGAAGAGCCAGGAACGUGAUGAAGCCCUCCCUCAGGGAAGUUGCAAUGAUGAUUUGGCACUCUUCCUCGAGAAUUUCCUAGCCACAAUACAAGGACAAUACCCGCAAGACUGACAAUUGGACCAGCAGCAAGAAAAAACCAUCUACUUCUGCGCUCUCUUCCAGAGCUACUUACAAUUGGGUUCAUGUCUAGAAGCUCCCUUUGCUCCAUUCCACCUUGGUCAAAUUCACCAGCUCCAUCUGAAACAUAAGAGGAACUUUCCUCGCUUGCAUCCUGCUGCUGAAUUUCAGGAAUCCCCGAUCUAUUAUUAUUGUUUUGCUUACCCUUCUCAUAUUCUUUGUCAUCAGUCGGUAGCUCAAACCUACAGAGAGGGCAUGAAUUUCGAGUACUCAGCCAUGGAAAAAUACAGGAAGGGUGAUAUAGGUGAAGGCAAGGAAGCUGGUUAACUUCAGUGCCAAUGGAUAAAACAUCCUUGCAAAUUGCACAAGCUAAACCAUCAUUCUUCUCAUGUUCCUCAUUAAUGAUCACACAAGGGAGGUUAUUCACAAAGGGCACAGCUGCAGGGGGUGCUUCUCUUCUUGAGCUGUCAGUCUCUGCAAGAUGUUCAAGAAAUUCUUCAAAGCCUCUUGCAUCAAGAUAAUCCCCAGAAUUUCUUACAUAUUGUGGUAAUUCUGAUUCUCCUAAGUUAGCAAAGAUCUCCCUGUUAUAUGCUUGUCUAUCUUGCCUGAUUCUCCAGUGAAACAGGCCCUCAAAUUCAGGAGAAAAUAACUGUUGACGCCAAUUACUAGAGCCACUACCUUCAUUUGGACUUGAAAUUAAAUAAUUUCGCAGCCUUGGUCCUGCCACCACAGAUUCAGUUGUGUUGUCCUCAACAUCAGCUUCUUCCCAUUCACCAUCUUCUUCUUCUUCCUCUUCCUCGU